CCUACGGGAGGCUGCAGUGGGGAAUAUUGGGCAAUGGAGGCAACUCUUACCCAGCAAUGCCGCGUGAAUGAAGAAGGUCUUCGGAUUGUAAAGUUCUUUAAUUGGGGACGAAAAAAAUGACGGUACCCAAGGAAUAAGCCUCGGCUAACUACGUGCAAGCAGCAGCGGUAAUACGGAGGGCGCAAUCGUAGUUCGGAAUGACUGGGCGUAAAGGGUGUGUAGGCGGGGUAGCAAGUUAGAAGUGAAAUACCUAGAGCUUAACACAGGUGCUGCUUCUAAAACUGCUAUACUUGAGUGCAGUAGAGGAAAGUGGAAUUCGUGGUGUAGCGGUGGAAUGCGUAGAUAUUAGGAGGAACAUCAGUGGCGAAGGCGACUUUCUGGACUGUAACUGACGCUGAGGCACGAAAGUGUGGGGAGCAAACAGGAUUAGAUACCCGGGUAGUC
rnacentral:rRNA from 1 species